AGGACGAACGCUGGCGGCGUGCUUAACACAUGCAAGCCGAGCGGUAAGGCCCUUCGGGGUACACGAGCGGCGAACGGGUGAGUAACACGUGGGUGACCUGCCCUCAGCUCUGGGAUAAGCCCGGGAAACUGGGUCUAAUACCGGAUAUGACCUUGUGUCGCAUGGCAUUGGGUGGAAAGUUUUUCGGCUGGGGAUGGGCCCGCGGCCUAUCAGCUUGUUGGUGGGGUGAUGGCCUACCAAGGCGACGACGGGUA
rnacentral:rRNA from 1 species